rnacentral:rRNA from 1 species
CCUACGGGUGGCAGCAGUGAGGAAUAUUGGUCAAUGGACGAGAGUCUGAACCAGCCAAGCAGCGUGAAGGAUGACUGCUCUAUGGGUUGUAAACUUCUUUUAUAUGGGAAUAAAACAGGGCUUGCAUACCCUCUUGUGUGUACUAUAUGAAUAAGCAUCGGCUAACUCCGUGCCAGCAGCCGCGGUAAUACGGAGGAUCCGAGCGUUAUCCGGAUUUAUUGGGUUUAAAGGGAGCGUAGGUGGGUUGUUAAGUCAGUUGUGAAAGUUUGGGGCUCAACCGUAAAAUUGCAGUUGAAACUGGCAGUCUUGAGUGCAGGAGAGGUGGGCGGAAUUCGGGGUGUAGCGGUGAAAUGCUUAGAUAUCGCGAAGAACUCCGAUUGCGAAGGCAGCUUACUGGACUGCAACUGACGCUGAUGCUCGAAAGUGUGGGUAUCAAACAGGAUUAGAUACCCUUGUAGUC